rnacentral:lncRNA from 1 species
GACAAAUGCAAGCAAAGAACGGUGGUCAGUAAAGCAAAGUGUACAUGCUGUCCUUGACUUCAGUGCACAGAUACCAUCCUGAUGUACGUCUCCUUAUCCAGGUGGAACAAGUGGAGCUGAUCUCAGACCAGCUGAACCAUCUAGGCUGAUGACCGCUGUGACUGGACAGAGGCGUGGUCCCCCAGGGAGGAAAAGUACUAGCCCAGCUGCUAUUCCCAUCAUUCACGCCGCCCGCCCCGACAUAAUAGGAAACAGAUAAUAUACUGGAAGUUGAUGGAGCAGGCAGGAGAUCAGGAGAAAGGAGAUGUGUUUUGAAGCCCUUCUUGAAUGUUGAGAGGAAUUCAGCAGUUCCGAGUGAGAGAGGGAGCUCGUUACACCUUGGACUGGACCAAACUCAGUCGACCGGCAUGUGGACGUUGAUGUGAUUUACCAGCCAAACAGAAGUAAGGAACACACAUGCAUACAGAGGUGCCCACUGGAAUUUGCGUGGCAAGAGCUUCCAGGAAACCCAACAAGGUUAACAGCAGAAGGAUGCACGGGGGAAUCAGACACAGGAGAUGUCACGUCUGCGCGGCAUCGGUGAAGUAUUUGGGCAGCUCUCUCAGGGAGAUGCUCCCUGAGACGGUUGUCUUGGAAACCAAGCAGAGGACAACAGCUUCUGAUUGACAAGCAGUUUGAAUUCCAGCAACACUGAGACUGUGUCUCUGCAGGGGACCAAAGACCUCUCUGUUUAAUGCCGGUCAUGAGCACAAGUGUGUACCAGACUUAUUUAAAUAUUAAAACUGCAUUACGACCAAAAAGGCUGCAGCACAUCCUGCAACGUGAGACAGUGUGUUGAACAGUAACGCGAUACGUGAUCGCCGCACUACAUUGCUAGGAUGUGCUUGCAGAUCCUUUAUGGUUCAUUUCUUUACUGGGUGUCCUGAGCCUUUUCAGGAUUUCACGUUAAAAAUAUCUGAAACACAAAUGUGGAACAUGUGGCACAGCAAGUAGCGCUGUUGUCUCACGGCGCC